rnacentral:rRNA from 1 species
GAUGAACGCUGGCGGCGUGCCUAAUACAUGCAAGUCGAGCGAACAGACGAGGAGCUUGCUCCUCUGACGUUAGCGGCGGACGGGUGAGUAACACGUGGAUAACCUACCUAUAAGACUGGGAUAACUUCGGGAAACCGGAGCUAAUACCGGAUAAUAUAUUGAACAGCAUGGUUCAAUAGUGAAAGACGGUUUUGCUGUCACUUAUAGAUGGAUCCGCGCCGCAUUAGCUAGUUGGUAAGGUAACGGCUUACCAAGGCAACGAUGCGUAACCGACCUGAGAAGGUGAUCGGCCACACUGGAACUGAGACACGGUCCAGACUCCUACGGGAGGCAGCAGUAGGGAAUCUUCCGCAAUGGGCGAAAGCCUGACGGAGCAACGCCGCGUGAGUGAUGAAGGUCUUCGGAUCGUAAAACUCUGUUAUUAGGGAAGAACAAAUGUGUAAGUAACUAUGCACGUCUUGACGGUACCUAAUCAGAAAGCCACGGCUAACUACGUG